rnacentral:lncRNA from 1 species
AAUAAACCAAAAUUUUAAGAAUGGAAAAGUUUUUAAUUUUGUGGGGCUUGGGAUAAAAAAUCACUAGAAAGUCUCACAUAAUUUUUUUAAAAAAUAAUUUUUCCUACUUAAUCCAAGUGAAUGUCAGUUAAUGUUAAUAAUAGUAAACACAACUAAAGUAGUUUGAGAUAAAUUCCAAUCAAUAAUCAAUAUAAUUCCCUUAAAGAUGAGGCCAAUCUUUCCUG